rnacentral:rRNA from 1 species
CAAUAGCGUAUAUUAAAGUUGUUGCAGUUAGAACGCUCGUAGUCGGAUUUCGGGGCGGGCCGACCGGUCUGCCGAUGGGUACGCACUGGUCGGCGCGUCCUUCCUUCCGGAGACCGUGCCUACUCUUAACUGAGCGGGGGCGGGAGACGGAUCGUUUACUUUGAAAAAAUCAGAGUGUUUCAAGCGGGCAGCUCGCUCUUGCAUGGAUUAGCAUGGGAUAAUGAAAUAGGACUUUGGUGCUAUUUUGUUGGUUUCGAACACCGAAGUAAUGAUUAAAAGGGACAGUCAGGGGCACUCGUAUUCCGCAGAGAGAGGUGAAAUUCUCAGACCCGCGGAAGACGAACCACUGCGAAAGCAUUUGCCAGGGAUGUUUUCACUGA